GUUUAUUGGCUUGACCACAUAACAUACGUUGAAAUCCUUGAGUUGUCACAGAUAAACAGUAUCCAUGCCACAGCAGCAAUAACGUGGGAGGGUCAACAAAAAAUUACAAAGAUACCCUUAAGAGUUCUCUCAAGGUGUGUGAGGGAAACGAUCCUUUCUCAUUGCCUGAGGCCGUGAGUGUCGUGUUUCAUGAUAUAAGGCAAGGAGCUCGGUAAUCAACAAAAAACGUAGAUCUAAGAAUAAAAAAAAACGGAAAGUGAGAAAAGAAGCAAGCAUAUCUGCAGCAAACCCAAGUUACCAAUGCCGUCUAGGAGGUCGGCUUUUUUAAAGUAAAAAAUUGGACUCCAUAGCCAUCUUCAAAUUCAUAGAAAAUGGGAAAUAAUCUCAUCUUAAGUUACGAAGGAGGAGCUAUAUAUUUAAGCUAGCUGAUCUGCUCAUUAACUGAUUAGCUAUCGGUUACGUUAAUGUGCGAAAUCGACAUUUUGCCUCUAAAUAUAGGCAUAAUGUUCAUAUUAACGGUUUAAGUACUCUUAGGGUUAGGAUAGGGUUGCAAGCUCCUGCAAAUAACUAUAAAAUAAUAAUUCAAUUUAUUAAGCGCUGUUAACAAAGCACUAUAAACUCUUGCAGAGCUGACUUUUUGUGUCAAAACGCAAGAGUUAAGUCGAAGAUAACUACAACAUUAAGUAGUACCUGGACAAGUGGAUCCUGGUAGUUGGUGAUAAAUACAAAAUGUGUACUCUUCUAAUUCUGUUCUAAUGUUGCUGCUCGGCGGUCUGGAAGUUCAACAAGAAAACAGCGCCCACUUUCUCUUUCUACUGCGCCAAAUACCUAUAUUGUUCAUACCUCACAACCAGCAAAGACAUACCUGACUUACUAGGCGUCCCAUUUUUACCACUGGAGCAAUACACCACAGAUAUAUAUAUAUAUAUGGAGAGAGAGCAUAAAGGAAGGGUCACGGAUUGCAGAUGUCAUACACAACAGAAGCAGAAAGAAGGGUAAAAAUGCAACGGCGCCUGGUGAUUAUAUAUACCCAACCUGCGAUCGCAGCAGUGUAUCAAGGAUUGGCCUCUUUAGUCACACAAGAAGUUGCAAAGGUAAAAGAUCGUCUCUCCAGAUGUAAAAUGCCGCAGAAUAUAUAUAUAUAUGUUUACAGGAUUUGAUUUUGUGAUCCCUCUUCAGAAACAUCAGAUCAAAGGAAUGUACAUGCUGCUGAUAUAGAAAAAGUUUCUGACUGCUUACAGAUCAGUGUUCUUAGUUCUGCUAUUGAUUUACUAUUGCAUAAUAAAUAAACAUGUAAUGAUCAAUCACAUUUUUAUACCAAGUUCAUCUAAUGAUUUACACAGCAUAUUAUCAGCAUUCACAGUUCAUCUAAUGAUCUACAUAUGAAGCAGCACCAUGCAGAGCUAACAUCACCUACUGAAGAGAGUUUCCAUCAUGCUUUAGCAACAAUCCAAAAACAAAAUGAAAAAGUGGUUUCUUUGUUUGGGACAAGUCCUGAAAGGCCUUCAGAAUCUGGGAGCACACUAUUGUUAACAAGCAGUGUGUCAUAUGACCAGCACAAUGACCAACAGCCUUUACUUUUCGAACCAAAGUCAGGAUUGUCAGACUUCUGCUAGAUGUUGAUCUUUUCAUCACAACACCAAUAACUUCUUCUUGGAGUCAAGUAACAGUGUAUAUCACCUGAAAAAGCUAUUUAAAUUCCCUUAAAGAUCACAAAUUAAUGCUGAUGACAUAAAGCACAUUUAUCCACGAAAUCUUAUGAACACAUAAUAUUAUGUUGUACAACUAAAUAGUGGUGUCUGGAAAUUUAGGCAGUGUGUAUGUAGUGUAUAUGCUUAUUUAUUAUUUAUCUGUUUCUUAAACAUAGGCUUAUGUUCCCCGCGCUACCCAAACUAUAAUUCGGAGUGUGAAACAUAACAGAUUAACAGGUGCUAUAUUAUGUUUCGUUUAACAAAGAUUUUCUUACACUCUACAUAUUCCUCCCCCCCCCCCCGAGAGGUGGGCCAGGGGUAGUGGUAAGUAUUAUAAUCACGGACUGAGAAGACCUAACGGCGAGCGAGAAAGGGGUUACGUCGUCACUAGAUCUGUGUCAGCUCAAUACAAUUUUUUCUCUUCGUGGUGUAGUCUUAAUCAUAAACAGAUAAAAAUUAAAGUUUUAAGAUACUGUUAAUCUUCUAUAAUAAAAUGCUUAUUUCUUAUAGUAAUACGUUUCCCGUACUAGAUCUUUAUAAUUUAUUGUCAUUGCUCUAUAUAGUAUAGAUCACUUACUCACAAUGCAUACUUUUGUUGAAAAGAAAAAUAAUUAAACAUAUCGUGUAGAUAUAGAUGCGUGUUUCAUUAUGUUCGUGUAUAUUUUUGUUUUAUUUUAUCAAUAUUUCGCUUUGCUUGGUGACUUAAUAGAUAAAAUAUAAAUCUAAUUGUUAAUAUAUAUUUUGUUGUUGAUAAUUUCUUAAAUAGAAAAAAAGAAGAAAUAACAAGUUGUUCAUCAAAUGAUUAUUAACAUUUUAUUUAGACCUUCAUUUGAGUAAAUAAAAAAAACAUAGUUGAACGCAUAAGAACAAAACACUCUCUUUAAAACAUGUUAUUUGAAGUUCAAUAUAGAUAAAGGAGAUCAAUAUGCUUAAAAACAACAUGGUGGGCGGAAUAGAUCUAGUUAUCUGGGCGUCUGAACUUCUAAAUCUUGUAUAUCUAGUUCUAGAUCUAGAGCAGGGCUGAGCAAAUAACGACCCCCCUGGCCACAAGUGGCCCGCUGGAGUGUUUUAUGUUCUAAUAUUACUGUAAGAACUGGUCGAUGCUGACUGACAGUAAUUUAACAGCAGUCGCAAGGAUUACAACUAGUAAUAUAUCUAAAACAUUUUUAAUCUUUUAAUUUUCACAAUGAAAUCAUUUUCUUUUUACUCCAGCGCAAGAACACCAUCCAAUCCAAUCACUCGUUCAGCCUUUUUUUUUUUUUAUACAUUUGCGUCAUUCGCGAUUUCACUAGUUGGUCACGUGACAGGGCCCAGCUCUUGUCCCUAUCGGUUAUACAAAUGGGUCAAAUGAAAUUUUCUUUAAUUGUGAUUAAUUUAAUUUAGCCAUAGAAAGAAAUAAUGAUGUAGCGCUGUCUUUAAUCUAGAAUAAAUAAUCAAUGUAAUGUAGGUCGAUUGUAUUUAAUAUUUAAUAGAUCUAUAUCUCAUGUUUAUUGUGUAUUUCAAGUAAAUGUUGUUGUUUUUUUAACUUUUUUUUGUGACUUCACGAAAGGUAUUGUGUAUGUGUUUUUUUUGCUUUUUUUGUUUGUCUUUGACUGUUUACAAAACGUAUGGUAUUCUAUUUUGGCCAUAUUUCAUAAUGUGUAGCAAUUCAUCACUUUUAAUUUAAAUUUAUUCUAGUUUACUAGUUAAAUUUAUAUGAAGAGAUGCUCGUCCCUCCUCUUUUCGCAUUCCGGACUUGGGACCAGACAGUGGUGAAGUUGCCGACAUUGCAACUAACUAAUCCUAACUAUAGGCAACAUUUUUUUUUUUACUUUCAUCAUGUAGGCUUCUUUUACACUCAUAUCCGUCAUGUAGUCUUGUUCAACCCACCCACAUUUGCUUAUCUUCUUAAGAGUGGUCCAGAUGUUUAAUUAUGCCUUAUGGUUAACACUCUUUAGGGCCUUCCUCUGCCUAUAAAUCCCCCUUUUUUAUGUACUUGUUAAAGCUGGAUACUCUAGUUAACACCUAGUUGAAUGCUAGACAGAAUGGCAGCUAUAGAAGUAAUAAAAAUUUAUAUAAGGAGAGAUGGUUCAUUGAAAAGUCAUUGUCUUUUACACUCAUCUACGCGUUUGCAAAACAUUGGUAAAAAGAUUUUUAAAUGAGAAUAG